rnacentral:rRNA from 1 species
AGAGUUUGAUCAUGGCUCAGGACGAACGCUGGCGGCGUGCUUAACACAUGCAAGUCGAACGAGACCCAUCUUUCGGGGGUACACGAGCGGCGAACGGGUGAGUAACACGUGGGUGACCUGCCCUCAGCUCUGGGAUAAGCCCGGGAAACUGGGUCUAAUACUGGAUAUGACUCCAUGACGCAUGUUGUGGGGUGGAAAGCCUUGUGCGGCUGGGGAUGGGCCCGCGGCCUAUCAGCUUGUUGGUGGGGUAAUGGCCUACCAAGGCGACGAUCCGUAGCUGGUCUGAGAGGACGAUCAGCCACACUGGGACUGAGACACGGCCCAGACUCCUACGGGAGGCAGCAGUGGGGAAUCUUGCGCAAUGGGCGAAAGCCUGACGCAGCGACGCCGCGUGCGGGAAGAAGGCCUUCGGGUUGUAAACCGCUUUCAGGAGGGACGAAGCCACUCGGGUUAAUAGCCCAGAGGGUGACGGUACCUCCAGAAGAAGCCCCGGCUAACUACGUGCCAGCAGCGGCGGUAAUAC